AGACAACUGGGAACUCGGAAAAAAACGAGAUCAAAUCGUCCGUGAUCAUAAGGUCGGAAAUUCGGAGCUAUAAAAAGAGGCACAAAUUCCUGACUUGGAAUUCGGAUUUGGAUGACCGUUCAAACUAACUUUCCCAGUCGGAGCUCGUUUUUUCCGAGUUCCCUGUUAUCGUGAACGCAUUGCCGGCGAUUUCCGAGCUCCAGUUGGAGCGCUUCUGUUGGGAUGACGUUUGUUGUCUCCUCUUCAAAAAGCGUGUCCACUCCUACAACCCGUCCUAGUACGCCAUACUCCGACACUGAUCAUUUAUUAGUCUAGUCAUUUGUUUUGAGUUUGAGAGGAGAAAUGAUGAUGAUGAUCAAGUCUGGGUCUGAGGCUCCCAUUCAAUCAGAGGAGAGCGAGACGCAGAAGCAUGGAUUUGGGAAAUGGUUUCCAGAAACGCACAGACCAUGUAGCACACUCAGAAAACGAUGGGGGCUACAUUUCAACAGCUCGGGACUCUUCGCAAUUCUUUGCACACCCUUUGUAUGGAGCCUCUGGACCACAAUCAAG
rnacentral:lncRNA from 1 species